GUUACCUCUUUUCCAAUUUCAAAAUCCCCUAAAUGGGACCUCAGGUGCUUUAUUUUCUCAUAGAUGUGCCAAAUUCUUUCAGGCACUUGGCGUUCUUUCCGAUCACAUUCACGAUAUCAACAUUAUCAGACUCCAGAAUCACUGGAGCUUACGGCACUUGCCCAACAGCUGAAGGCCAGUAGCGCAGGUUUUCGCUCCAGCUUUCAGCGCUUCGACUUUCAUGGAUAGCAAGAGCAGAGUAAACAAAGAUCUUCUUUAAAAAAAUAUAUAUUUUCGCUACUUUUUCUCGCACCUUUUUCACACCUCGUCCUAGCAGUAGUAUCGCCCGGUACUUCUAGGGCUGGAGCUACCACUUUUUUUUCUUUUUGAGGGAGCUGGAGCUACCACUUUGCCAGGUGUGACCGAGAGGUAAAACUACCCUGUAAAAUUCUUGAGCAUGUAUAACGGUUCGAUUUGUGGGGCUCUAUAUAAGAGGUCGUCUUAUAUCUCAAGAAAUACCUAUAUGAUUCCUUGAGAUUUGGAGAAAAUGUUGAUUUCUCUUACUUCCUUAUGGAUUCCAUUAUGAUUCUCAUGAUCUCCUCGGCUCGUAGCGCGUCAGCUCCUGCGUGCUUCACACCCAGCUUAAUUAGCCCACUGUGUAUAUGUCCAAUUUUGAGCACACUACACGAGAUAAAAAAAGAAAGAUAAAUUCUACUCCCUCCGAUCCAUAAUAAAUGUCCGAAAUUUAGUACAAAGUUAGUAUAACUUUGUACUAAAUUUCAAUUUCAGACACUUAUCAUGGAAGUACACUUAAAAGAAGUUAGACUACCCGGCCUCUCGUUGAUUCGGGCACCAUGAGAUAAUUUCGCACCGUCCGAUUGCUGAGCAGCCUCAUCCGGAGCGUCCAAUUCGCGUGUUUAAUUGCUACCUGGUCUGCCUGGAUGGAAAUGGCUGCAGGUGGGCCAGUCUGUCUGUGGUCCCGAUGGAGUCUGGGACCAGGUCUCUGUAUUUUUCUUUGACUUCUUCGUCCCGUUCGGGGUAGGCAUGGCUGCACUGCGGUGAUGGAGGGCACAGCGCGGCGAGUCGGCGACGGCAUGGCGGCUGGUACGGCGGCCCCUGUGCACUGGCCGAGUGCAAUAUCCUUCGUUACCCCCAUGGGAUCCCCUUCCAAUGAACACGAUGCAAGCCCCGUACCUCCCCAUAUCCGCGACGGAUCGACCUCCUCCCCAUCCGCCGCCGCAACCAGCUCCUGGAGCGGACGCGGGCGGCGGAGUAUCGACCGUCGGACACGCGGGCGGCGGGGGAGCGACCAACGGGCGCGCGGGCGGCGGAGGAGCGACCAUCGGGCACGCGGGCGGCGCAGGAGGGACCUUCGGCCUCUUGGAGGCCGUAGGUUGCCGGGGUGGUCGAGCAGCGCGCGGUGGGAGGCGACCUCCUUCUCGCUGGAGAGCCUGGCUGGCGCAGGCAUGCGGCUGCGGCGGCGGAGGUAACUCCGGCGCGAUGAAGUCCUUGCGGGCCGGUUCCACGCGGUCCUUAUCCUUGGGCCGAUGGUAGGGGGCUUACUACUCGCUGGACCUGGAGCGGCUGCACGGUGCUUGCACGCUUGGGCAGAAGGACCGACGGCUUGGUGAAGACCGACGUCGAGGUCGACCCGGCGAGCGGUUGGAGGUGGUGGCUUCGAUCUCCAGGCUCCAGCGCGGGUGGGGGUUCCUCGAGGCGACGGUGGCUUGAGCGGAGGCGGUGGCUGGUUCCCUGGGGUCGACGGCGACGGUGAUUCCCGGUCGUGGCGGUGAUUUCUGGAGGUUUCGGAGGGAGGCAGCGGCCGAUCGAGGUCGUCUGCAGGCGCCGAUGAUUCUUGUUGCGCCAUGGUCCUCGCCGAGUGCGUCUACAAGGUCCCCUAACCUCUGUCCUACGCUCUCCACUCGCCUUUUGUUUUCUGUGAUUCGAUUCCGUUGGACAGAUUAGAUAGAUCCGAAGCCAGGCAUGUCUGGCUGCUGGAUAAGAACGAUGCAAGUCGGCUCCUUUCAUAUGAAGAAUUGUAUGCGGGUUAAUGAGAUCCGAAGCCAGGAGCAAACCUUUUGAUUCUUUGCAGGUUGAUGAGAUCCGAAGCCAGGCAUCAAUUCACAUGAAGAAUUGUAUUGAUCUAAUUUCUCUAUCUAGCAUUCGUGGUUGAGGUAAACAAAUUACUCAGGUCAUGAAUUCUUCUAGAUACCCUUUUUUAUGUCUACUAAUAGUGUCCUCGAUUAAAUAGUUGUCCCCGAUUAAAUAGUUCAAUGUUGAUUACUCACCUGGGUGGGUUGGCGUGAGCUUGGUCUAAUUCAGUCUGAUUUUGGCGUCUAUGUGGUGUGCGCACGUAUAGGAGCCAAAGGCGUCUGAUUGAACUCAGGUCGUGGAGGUCAAGGAGGUUCGGCUCCUGGACAUGCCGCCAAUCACUCGAUGACACCGAUGUGCAGACUGGAUUUUCCCUCACUCUGCCCUGAUAUUUCUAGGAAUAUCUGCAAAUUGCGUAGUUAUUUUGCUUAAGAUUGGCGGUCAUGAAUUCUUGUACAACUUAGCUUGGUGUGAGCUCGGUUUGAUUCAAUCUGGUUUUGGCGUCUACGUGGUGUGUGCGCAUGCAGGGGCUGAACCGCUGUAGGCGUCCGAUCGAACUCAGGUGGAGGCCCAGGAGGUUCAGCUCCCGGACAUGCCGCCAAUCACUCUCGAUGACGCAGACGUGCAGACUGUAAAUAGCCUCGCUCCGCCCUGAUAUGUAUAUGAACUUCUGCAAAUUGCGUAGUUAUUUUGCUUAAGUCGAUCUCCGUGCAAUAUGAUCUGUGUGUAAUAGGAGCAUAAGAAUCAGGGUGAUGCCUUAUAAUUUAUUUAUCCCUUGCUGUAAAUUUGGAUUAGUCUCUGUUAAGAUAACUGAGAUGAGAUUAUCCAUUCCAAACACACCAGUUCUGUUGAGAUGAUGUAUGGUUUUCCUGCGUGUUAUCGCGGAACUGUUACCUGUUUCUAAGUAUCUCCAUUGCUUCAGCAUUUUUGUUUAUCAUAGUUUGAUAACUUAAUCCUACCUUUAUUGAAGUUCUGGUACUCUGAUGGCUUUUGAUGGGUGUUUUGGGUGCUGAUUGCGGUGGUAGGUAGCUUAGCUGAAAAAUGUUGCAUGGACAGAUCUGCCCUUGGCACACCAUACAUAUUUCUGAGUUUUAAGUACGAAUGUAUGAUUAAGGCUCAUAUCUUCCUGGUCUGAAGUUGUGUUACUUUCAAAUGGAAGAAUUGUGGAAAAACUGUUAUCAAUGUGUCCUGUAAACUUGUUUCCCCAUCGUCAGCAUAUUAUUAUCAGCUAUUUAGUGAAAAUGAGAAAACAUGGAUUGGUUAUUAGUUUGAAACUUCUGUCAAUCUCCUGCUCGGGUGGCCUAAAACUUCUAUGAUCAAUAAACAAAUAUCUCCUGCAGGUUUGCGGCACCGAGAAUGCGAGCCAUAAGUACAAGCUCGAGGCGAGUAUGUGGAUCUAGUUUAACAAGAUUUUGGACAAGAAAGCGAGCUAUCACAUGGCCAUGUCAUAUUUUUAAUAAAUCAGGUUAUUUGUGUCCUGUGAGUUGAAUUCAGUUUUAUUUUUUCGUACAAAUUUUCUGAUGGUUGAUGCAAGCACAUUCUCUCCGUAGCUUCAUUUUUCACUUUCCAGAGAAGGUUUCUAUUACUCGGUUUUCCCUCGAUUAUCUAGAUUUUGUUGUUGUGUUAAAAUCAAUUCCUCCUAUAUCAUGCUUGGUUGAUAGUAGAAUUUGACAGAGGUGAGGUAGAAGGUAUGUUUCCCUCAAUUAAAGCAUCCUUGUUUAGAUUAUUCCUUUGUUCUUAGUAAGGUACAUUCAUAGCUACUGUUUAGUUCCAGAUUUUCUCCUUUUCUGUGCAUAUAUGUCGUAGAAGCUCAUAUGAAAUCUAUGUCAUGCAAUGAAGAUUGCCUUCUAUGUUGCAGGCACAUAGUGAUGUAGAUCAAGGAGCAGCAGAAGGCAAGUAGCAGGGCCCGAUAGCUGCUAUUAAGGUAAUUGCUAUCAUUUUCGUGUUUGUGCAUCUGAAUGUUUGCUAAAUCCCAGCCCUAUAUUUAUAUUUCUUUUGGUUGACAGUGGUACCUGUAGUUGUCAUUUUUCACAUGGGUCAUGCCUGCCUGAACCGUCUGUGGGAUUGUUUAGAGGAUUUUGUGUUUCUUCUUACCGAGUAGAAUUUGUUCUAGGGUAAGUUCAUUUUCAGGGAAUAUAAUCUUGUGAUAUGUGGUUUUAGCUAUGAACGAAUGAUAGCAUAUGGAAAAGUACGUACGCUGUUGCUGCUCUUGCUGCUUCCGCUACCGAGUGGAGAUAUGUAGUGUGUUUCCAUUUGCAUAGCUGAACCUAUAUUUAUUUUUUGUUUCAUUAUUAUGGACCCUUUGCAUCAUGUUUAUAACUAAUUGCUCUAUCGAGUUUGGAAAGUUACACUCUGUAAGAAGUUAUAGAAUGAUUCCCAGCUGUUUAGUAAUGUUUUGUUUACUGAACAUAGAAAUGAGUAGUUACUUGUGGUUAUAGAAACAGCACCCUGCUUCCUUUUUCCAAAGAGGUUACAAGUGGAACUGGUGUGAUGCUACUAAGCAGUCUACCCAUGUGAAAAAUUAGCCCCUGAGUCCCUGAUACAUUGCCCUACUAAAUCAUAUUGUGCUUUCCUUAUGGUAAUUCUCUUUGAAAUUCCUUUCCGCAUCCAUUUAUAAUAGCAAAAUGAUGAACAGAAGGGGCAUAACAUAACAUCGGUUAUUUCGUUUGUAGCAUAAUUAUAGUUUGUUACAUUCAGAGAAGCGUUGUGCCGCCAGCCACUGUCUAUUUGCACAGGUCGCCGUCGUGUCAUCGGCUCGUUGCCCCUUGCCUCAGCCGGAGCCGUGAUCGCCUCAGAAGGAACAAUGUGUGUGAGGUCUCCCAUCAUAAAGAAUGAAUUUUUUUAGAAGGAGCUCAAGUCAUGGGCUUAGAUGCUUCUAACCAAAUAAUACUUGCUUCUAAAAAGGCACCUGGUUUAGGCCAGGGACAUGCUUUUACUAAGGUAUGAAGUUUAAAUUGACCGAGGAGAGAACCCCGUGCCCCCACACCAUCUCAUGAUUUAGCUCAUUGCGACCCUGCUAGCCCCUCUCCCCUUUGUCCCACAGAGAGAGGACGCCUCCUGCCAUCCUGCUCAGGCGAUGAGCUGAUCGGAUCUGGACAACGGCAGUAUCACAGCGAAACAACUACAGCAGGAAGAGCCGAUGCAGACACCCGCCCUGCCCUACGACUACGACGAGAUCCUCUUCCCUGCGUCGUUGUGCUUUCUCCUGCAGCGCUCCUGCUGUUGAGGAUUCCGGACUCCCGUGCCAUGUAGGUUCCUGCUGCAAGAGCUUUGUCCUCUUCUCCCUCAUCUGGUUUAUUUCUUUACUCCUCAUCCGUAUCCUUCCGGAGUUCUGUUCUGGCUCCAUUACUUUCUUCAACCUUGACUUUGCGUGUUU